UCCACCUCUGAACUGUACAACCUGCUGUGCUUUCUAGCUAUUCUAUUUAUAUGUAGCCAUACAUUGGUACAGUUAAUUCAUAAACAUGAUUCAAUAGGAUUUGAUAUUUUUUCAUGUCUCAAGUUUUUAGCUCUUCCCUCUUGGUGUGCAAAUCUUUUAGAGGGAAUUUGGUGUGCCAAUUAUUUUCCUGAUUACUGUAGUUAUAGUUUUUCUCACUGUUAGAGCAGAGUAAAAUUCAAACUAUGAUAUUAGUGGUGGUUAGCUGAUAACUUGAUCAUAACAGGGGGCACACUAAUCUUCUUUCUUUUCUUCUCUAACAAAGUCUUAAUAUUAUAAGAAUGUUGUUUUCUUCUUUCAUAAUCUGACAAAUAAAAUUUCCCCUAAUUUCAGUUUGGAUAAGUCAAGGUUGCUUUUGGAUCUUAGUAGAAGAUAGACGUUAUGGAUUUAGACAAAAAUAGAUGUGGAUUUAGGGGUUCCGUAUGAUACUCAUGUCUUCUCUAUUUGGGGUACAAGUUCAAGUGAUCUUUUAGGCUACUAUUGAAGGGAAAUAUGUAUGCCGUUUUGUUCAUUUCAUCUCCACCUACCCACCUCGCAUCUACACAAUCCAACUACUCAAAGGAACAUACAGUUCCAGAAGUGAGAACUGUUGAGCUAUUAUAGCGCAGUUUUGGGAUGAUGGAUGUUCAGGCCAGCUAUGCAGACCUUAAGGUAAAUGUUUUUCCAGCUAAUUAACAUGAAAUGUCUUGUAACUUGAACUAAUAAUGAACAACUGAGGAAUGCUGCCUGAAUGAAUCCAAAAUGUGUUGGAAACACCAACGUCCAGUUGGAGAGGGAGCUAUCUGGAUCUCCAUCCAACUAGGACAUGUCUGCUUACAACUUUUUGUUGAACAUGAUAUUACAUGAUUCUAUCAAAGAUAACUCUCCUUUCUUCAGUGUACAUGCAUGAUAUUACAUGAUUAAACAUACCAUUUUUAACUUCAUUUAGUUGUCUAUAUUAUGCUCUAUGUGCUAUCACCAACAAAAAUAGUGUUACCUCCGUACCAGGCCUACCAAAUAUCUUAUAUUUUGGUACACAUGUAGUAUUUUUAGCCUGCAAAGCGACUCCUAUGCCCAGUGUGCCAAUAAUGUGUUUGCACCAGUGAAGAGAUAACUUAUUUUUUACAUUGUAAGAAAUACAUCCUGUUUCUUCCCCAUCAUUUAAGUGUGUGGCAUGCUAUCUUUGUUCAUGUUGCUGGCUGUACAUUUUCAGUAUUGUCAGGAUAUAUCUGAUUAUGAUGAUGUUCAGUACUACUUUGGAGCCGCAACUUUUUGGACUGCUUGAUGUUUAUAACCAAUGAGACUACUUUUUUGGUUGUUGGCUGGAGCUAUCACUAUGACUGGAUUUGUUUUCACCCAAGUAGAUUUAUAUGGUCAUCAAAAACCAACGACAGGUCAACACUUGUCAGCAGUUUGCAAUUUGUAUUACAGUAUGCCUAAGCCAAUGGUCAGACAAUGUUGUUUUAGUUAGGAAAUGUAGAAAAUGUGGUCAUGAUUUAUGUAGAUUCGACAGUCCCUUCAAACUGCAGUCUUCAACCUUGAGUGGACCAUCUAACUAUAUGUUUCCUUGUAGAAAAUUGACUAUAUGUUCCAUGAAUUGACUGAUUAUUUUGGCCCGAUCAGAUUAAACUAGGUCUUGAUUUGAAGGUCCAGCUAAGGCAGCUGGUGCUGGUUUAUUUGUUGUAAUACUAACUGUGCUAUUUAGACAGAGACAUGUGGUCUUUCUCAUUCCUCGAAAUUUUCCUUUGCUACCAAGAUUUUCCAUUCUAGGUUGUGGAAAAAUACAUGUAGCAUUCCUUCUACAAGUCGUCAUGAGCUGGGACAUAGAAGAAGAGAGCCGACGAGAAGUCGCACAGCGGUUCGCUCCGGUGUGGCUGCCAAUGGCGUUGCGCAAAGUGCAGAUUACAGGCUAGAUGCGUACGAGUCUGUCCCUACUUCCACGACGUGGAAGCAAAGGAAAUCGAGUCAAUUAGAUAGUAUAUUUGGUUAUGUAAGUUGUCUUUUGUGUAUGCAGUUUUACCAUUAUUUUGUAAAAGCUUUGAGUUUUUGAUAAUGUAAUUGUCUUACUAAUCACACUUUUAAUCUAUUCGUGCCAAGGCUAACAGCCAAGUUAUGCACAAGCUGUUGAUGUUUCCUUGA